rnacentral:rRNA from 1 species
CCUGAACGCUGGCGGCGUGGCUAAGACAUGCAAGUCGCACGGUGUAGCAAUACACAGUGGCGAACGGGUGAGUAAUGAAUCGCUAAUGUACCCUGGACUCUGGGAUAGCUGCCCGAAAGGGCGAGGUAAUACCAGAUGAGACCACGAUCAGGCAUCUGAUUGUGCUCAAAGGUCCGCCGGUCUGGGAGCAGGCGAUUUCGUAUCAGCUUGUUGGUGAGGUAACGGCUCACCAAGGCGACGACGCGUAGCCGGACUGAGAGGUUGGCCGGCCACAUUGGGACUGAGACACUGCCCA